UGUAAUCGGGUUUGUUGAAUUCUGGAAGA
rnacentral:piRNA from 1 species